rnacentral:rRNA from 1 species
AUGCCAACCGCCCGCCUGUCCUCCAUCUCCACCUCCUCCUUCAGGGCCCCCCUCGCCGCCUUGGCUGCCGCCACGGAACGCGUUCUCGCUGGAACGCUAAGCCGGGAGGAUGCGCACCACCUGUUCGACGAAUUGCUAGGCCAAGCCGCCGCCGCCCCGGAACACGGGCUGAACAACUUUCUUGCCGCACUCGCCCGUGCUCCACCCUCAGCUGCCUGCAGCGAUGGCCCCGGCCUUGCCAUCGCCCUCUUCAACCGCAUGUCCCGAGGCGCUGGUGCACGGGUGGUGUCGCCCACGCUCUGUACCUAUUCCAUCCUCAUGGACUGCUGCUGCCGUGCACGCCGCCCAGAGUUGGUGGUUGCCUUCUUCGGCCGCCUCCUCAGGUUGGGGCUGCGCUUGGAUAUCAUCUCCUCCAGCAAUCUCCUCAAGGGGCUCUGCCAGGCCAAGCGUUCAAAUGAGGCUUUGGACAUGCUGCUCCACCGGAUGCCCGAACUGGACUGUGCACCUGAUGUCUUCUCGUUCAACAUAGUAAUCAACGGCUGCUUUAAAGAAGGUGAAGUAGACAAAGCGUGCAAUCUCUUCCAUGAGAUGCCCCAACUGGGAGUUCAACCUGAUGUGGUCACCUACACCUCAAUCAUCAACGCACUAAGCAAGUCUGGAGCAAUGGACAAGGCAGAAGUGGUCCUUCGGCAAAUGGUUGAUCAAGGCAUUGGACCCAACAUCAGGACAUAUACUAGCCUGAUACAUGGAUAUUCCGCUUCGGGUCAGUGGAAGGCGGCAGCUAGAGUAUUCAAAGAGAUGGUAAGUCUUGGUGUUCUACCAAAUGUUGUCACAUGGAACUCAUUUAUGGAUUCACUUUGCAAGCAUAGAAGGACAAAGGAAGCUCGAGAUAUUUUUGACUCCAUGGCUGCAAAGGGUCAAAAACCUGAUAUUGUCUCCUACUCUAUUAUGCUUAACGGGUACGCGAAAGAAGGAUACUUCGAUGACAUGACUGAUUUGUUCAAUUCGAUGCUACAGAAUGGUAUUGUACCUAAUCACCAUGUUUUCAACAUAUUGAUUAAUGCAUAUGCUAAACGUGGACUGAUGGAUGAGGCUAUGCACAUGUUUGAAGUAAUGAGGCAACAAGGAGUAAACCCAAAUGUAGUUAGCUAUCAAGUCAUAAUGGAUUCACUUUGUAAAAUGGGUAGGAUGGAUGCUGCUCUGGAAAAAUUUAAUCAGAUGGUCAAUCAAGGAGUUUCAGCUGACAAAGCUGUUUACCGAUGCCUGGUUCUGGGUUCUUGUUCUCAUGGUGAUUUUGUGAAGGCCAAGGAAUUGAUUUCUGAAGCCGUUAAUAGAGGUCUGUGUUCUAACAGUGUGUUCUUCUAUUCUGUAAUAAAUGACCUGUGCAAAGAAGGAAAGGUGAAGGAGGCACAGGAUAUGUUUCACUUCAUUGUAGGUAUUGGUCAGCGGCCUGAUGUGAUUAUGUACACUUCACUGAUGGAUGGAUAUUGCCUUGUUGGCAAGGUGGAGGAAGCACUGAGAGUACUUGAUGCUAUGAAGUCUGCUGGCCUCCAACCUACUGCUGUUACGUAUGCUAUACUUCUUAAUGGCUACUGUAAAAUUGGCAGGAUCGCCGAUGGAUUGAGUCUUUUCAAGGAAAUGUCACUCAGCGGGGUUAAACCCACGACUAUUAUGUACAACAUUAUACUUGAUGGGCUGUUUCGCUCCGGGAGAACAGUUUCUGCAAAGGAAAAAUUCUGUACGAUGAGCGAAAGUGGCAUACCAGUGGGCAUUGACACAUACAACAUAGUUCUUAGUGGACUUUGUAAAAAUAAUUGCACUGGUGAAGCAAUAGAGCUAUUCAAGAAACUACGUGCAAUGAAUGUGAAGAUUGAUGUCAUAACACUCAAUAUCAUGAUUUCUGCAAUGUUUAAAACUAGGAGAAUUGAAGAAGCCAAGGAUUUGUUUGCUACUAUAUCAGCCAUCGGGUUGGUGCCUUCUGUUGUGACAUACAGCUUAAUGAUGACAAACUUCAUAAAAGAAGGGUUGCUGGCAGAGGCUGAUGAUAUGUUUUUAGCAGUGGAGAAGGCUAACUGUGCUCCCAACUCCAGGCUGCUAAAUCAUGUGGUCAGGGUGUUGCUGGAAAAAGGUGCAGUUGUAAAGGGUGCAAAUUAUCUGGCUAAACUUGAUGCAAAACAGAUGUCACUUGAUGUUUCAACGAUUUCGUUAAUUGUGUCUCUCUUCUCAGGGGAAGGGAAAUUGAGGGAGCACGUAAAAUUGCUUCCGGUAAAGUACCAGCCUCCUGAGAAUUCCGGCUAA